rnacentral:rRNA from 1 species
CUAUACAUGCAAGUCGAGCGGGACAGAUGGGAUGCUUGCUCCCUGAUGUUAGCGGCGGACCGGGUGAGUAAACACUGUGGGUAACCUGCCUGUAAGACUGGGAUAACUCCGGGAAACCGGGGCUAAUACCGGAUGGUUGUUUGAACCGCAUGGUUCAAACUAUAAAAGGUGGUCUUCUGGCUACCACUUACAGAUGGACCCGCGGCGCAUUAGCUAGUUGGUGAGGGUUAAUGGCUCACCAAGGCAACGAUGCGUAGCCGACCUGAGAGGGUGAUCGGCCACACUGGGACUGAGACACGGCCCAGACUCCUACGGGAAGGGCAGCAGUAGGGAAUCUUCCGCAAUGGACGAAAGUCUGACGGAGCAACGCCGCGUGAGUGAUGAAAGGUUUUCGGAUCGUAAAAGCUCUGUUGUUAGGGAAGAACCAAGUACCGUUCGAAAUAGGGGCCGGGUACCUUGGACCGGUACCUAAACCAGAAAGCCACGGGUAACUUACGGUGCCAAGCAGCCGGCGGGU